ensembl:lncRNA
AUGAAGCUCACGUGGCUCGGGACGUGCAGACAGACAGGCAGGCAGGCAGACACACAGACACACAGACAGACAGACAGACAGACUAACAGACAGGCAGAAAGAAAGAAAGAAAAAAAAAAACACAAAAGAGUGUUCCAAGUUUAACUGGCUGAAUUGUGCUGACUGCUGCGGCCAGCAGGGGCGCGCUGGGAGGCAGAGACAGAAAAGCUUACAGCACCUGGUAUUCCCAGGCGGUCUCCCAUCCAAGUACUAACCAGGCCCGACACUGCUUAGCUUCCGAGAUCGGACGAGAUCGGACGAGAUCGGGCGUGCUCAGUGUGGUAUGGCCGUAAGCAAUUACUGCCUGACAAAGUUGGCCUCAUAAAGCUCACGUGGCUCGGGACGUGCAUGCAGACAGACAGACA